CCUCCUUUCUAAGGAGCACCACGAGAAACACUCCAAUUGGUGGGGUGUGAGCCGUGAGGGGUUCUCGUCUGUAGUGGACGAGGGCCGGGUGCACAACAACAGGCAAUCGCCAGACACACUAUUGGGCCCUGAGACAACACUCGGCCGACUUCGGUUGAAGUGGUGUCCCUCCAUCUUGGUGGUGGGGUGUGGUGUUUGAGUAUUGGAUAGUGGUUGCGAGCAUA
rnacentral:misc_RNA from 1 species